CCCUUAGAUGUUCUGGGCUGCACGCGCGCUACACUGAUGCACUCAACGAGUUUACGACCUUGCCCGAUAGGGUUGGGUAAUCUUUUUAAAAUGCAUCGUGAUGGGGAUAGAUUAUUGCAAUUAUUAAUCUUCAACGAGGAAUUCCUAGUAAGCGCGAGUCAUCAGCUCGUGCUGAUUACGUCCCUGCCCUUUGUACACACCGCCCGUCGCUUCUACCGAUUGAGUGCUCAGGUGAAUAAUUCGGACUGCAGCAAUGUUUGGAUCCCGAACGUUGCAGCGGAAAGUUUAGUGAACCUUAUCACUUAGAGGAAGGAGAAGUCGUAACA
rnacentral:rRNA from 1 species